GUCAAGAAUAUUAGUCAAUGCUCGCAAGAGUGAACUAGCUAACUGAAAUUACGGGAUCCACUACGUGUGGUGAAUGUAAUAACGUAAGGGAAAAAAAUGAUAUUACCUUACUAUUAGUGUUGUCCAAAACUGGURCCAGAAGMCUYGGUAAGGCCAGAGACGCAAACGUUAGUCGSCCUAAUCAGGCGUAAAGGGUAYGUAGGCUKCUUUAAAAGUUUYAUAUUAAUAGMUAAUGUAUWUACUGGAAUCCUAUCUAGGAAAGUAGGUASUGGCAAAGAAAGCUUUAGSUAAGCCAASUAACCAAGAUMACCGUAUUUUUAAAUAUUUAUCUACUAGCUACUUACAAAGCUAGCAACUYGAUAAAAAUUUUAUACAUAAAAUAUAAGAUGAAUUAAAGCUAGGAUCAAAUGGAGGAUAAGUCAAAUAAUACCUAGUGUAGGGUUUAMAUCUGUUGAUGUUAGGUAGAGUACUAMCGGUGAAASCUUUUUAUCUAGAAAUGAUUGACGCUGAGAAACGAAGGUGAGAAUAGGAAAUAGGAUUAGAUACCCAGAUACCUCUCACAGUCAACGAUGAAUGGUGGUUGUUAGUUUAUUUAACUGAUAACGAUGUUAACAC
rnacentral:rRNA from 1 species